rnacentral:rRNA from 1 species
AUGAGAGGUAAUGUCAGUGGCCUGAAAAAACUGAUUAUGGAUGAGUCCCCUUCUGCCUACUAUGUUCAUUGUUUUGCCCAUCAACUACAAUUAACUCUUGUUGCUGUUGCUAAGGAGAGUGGUGAUUGUACUUGGUUCUUUCAGCAGCUUGCACACUUGUUAAAUGCUCUUGGCAUGUCUUGUAAAAAAAUGAGAAUGCUUCGGAUAGCUCAGGCUGAAGAACUCAUUGAUGCAUUGGAAUUGGAAGAAGUAGAAACAGGGAGUGGGCUGAAUCAGGAAAUGGGUUUGGGAAGGCCAUGUGAUACACGUUGGGGCUCUCACUUCAAAACUGUGAACCAUGUCAUCUUUAUGUAUGGUGCACUACGACGAGUCCUUCGCAAGAUUGGAGACGAGUACCAUGGUGCGGAGGCACAAGCGGCUCUAUCCAUAGAGACAAUAUUUCGAUCAUUUGAGUUUGUUUUCAUGGCACACUUGAUGCAAGAAAUAUUUGGAUACACAUAUGAGUUGUGUAGAGCUUUGCAAAAGCAAGACGAAGAUAUUGUUCAUGCUAUUGAGCUUGUUGCUGACACAAAGUAUUACUUGGAGGCUUUGAGGACCGAUGCUGGAUGGGAUGAUUUUCUCACAUAGGUCACAUCUUUUUGUACAAAGCAUAAGAUCAAAGUUGUUGAUAUGGAGGGUCCUUACUUUCCCGUUGGUCGGCCUAGAAGGGGUUUAUGUAAUGGUCCGACCAAUUACCACCGCUUCAAGGUUGAUAUGUUUGUGGGUGUCAUUGAUAGGCAAAUCAGUGAGCUGAAUGGCAGAUUUGAUGAGGUAAACACGGAGCUACUUUCUUGCAUGGCAGCAUUUUGUCCACUUCAUCUAUUUGCUGCUUAUGACCAAGAGAAGUUAGUUAGGCUUGCUACAAAGUUUUAUGCUUCUGAUUUUACAAGGGAUGAACUGGCAAGACUUCCAUGGCAACUAAACAUGUAUGUUACUAAUGUGCGUAGAGAUGCAAAGUUUCAAAACCUGAAAAAUCUGUGUCAGCUUUCAGUUAUGCUUGUUGAGACAAACAAGCAUGAACAAUAUCAUAUUGUUUACAGGCUUCUUAAGUUGGUAUUGAUUCUGCCAGUAGCUACUGCUAGUGUUGAAAGGGUAUUCUCUUCAAUGAACUAUGUGAAGAAUAAGCUAAGGAACAAAAUGGGUGAUGAUUAUUUGAACAAUUGUUUGGUUACAUUUGUUGAGAGGGAAUUUUUCAAUCAAGUGAAGGAUGAAGAUGUCAUCAAUCUGUUCCAAAAAGGCGACCGCAAAGUUAUAUUGUAA